rnacentral:lncRNA from 1 species
UUGGCAAAUUGAUUAUAUUAGCCCCCUCCCUCCAAGGGAGAGUUUUAAAUAUGCCUUGGUUUGUGUGGACACUGUGUCUGGCCUAACCCAAGCUUUCCCCUGUCACUGUACAAACCAGACUACCACCACUAGAGGAUUUGAGAAGCUGAGUACUAUGGACGAAUACCCUUGUUGAACAGACAGUGAUCAGGGGUCACAUUUCAAAGGUCAUGAUGUGCAAGACUGGGCAAAAGAACAUGCCACUGAAUGGAGGUUCCAUCUCCCCUAUAACCCGCAAGCAGCAGGGCUGGGAGAAAGGAAGAACGGAACGUUAAACCAGCAGAUUAAAUUACUAACAGGUAAAACCACCUUGGCCAGGUGGACUAAAGUACUGUCCCAGGCUUUAAUACACUUGAAUGAUCAACCAGUAGGGUCUAUUGUCCCAUAUGCCAGACUGGGGACCCUUGCCGAGACACUCAACACUGUCAAGGUAUGGAAGUCGCAGGACAUAGCCACUGCCCCGACCCUCACUGUGGAUCAUUGUGCUAUGCUGCUGAGAACACCAAGCCCCAUCCCGCCUGGGAAAGGCAUUAACUACUGGAAUUUGCAAUAGGACAUCCCACCGGGAUGGGUGAGUUAUUUCACACCCCUGGGUGAGGGGAACUACUCAAUCCCCACUGGGAUCCUGUUGUCUUGGUGUGAGCCAGACCUGUUGAAACGCACUCUGCCUGGAAUGGAACGUGCACCAUAGAAAGAGGGGAGAAGGCAGGAUUCCUAAUGCCCCCAACCUCCCUCUCCUCGAGGCCAUAUGGGCAUGUUCUGUUUUCCACUGAUACAAUCAUUUGGCUGUCAUCUUUAUCCCCUCCAUUGGCCUGGAGGAUGUCACAGCACACAUAGAAGCCCUAACUGAAUCUGUCCAAUAAGCCUUAAAUGAUAGCCAGCAAAC